AGAGUUUGAUCCUGGCUCAGAUUGAACGCUGGCGGCAUGCCUUACACAUGCAAGUCGGACGGCAGCGCGGGCUUCGGCCUGGCGGCGAGUGGCGAACGGGUGAGUAAGACAUCGGAACGUGUCCUGUAGUGGGGGAUAGCCCGGCGAAAGCCGGAUUAAUACCGCAUACGACCUGAGGGAGAAAGCGGGGGAUCUUCGGACCUCGCGCUAUAGGGGCGGCCGAUGGCAGAUUAGCUAGUUGGUGGGGUAAAGGCCUACCAAGGCGACGAUCUGUAGCUGGUCUGAGAGGACGACCAGCCACACUGGGACUGAGACACGGCCCAGACUCCUACGGGAGGCAGCAGUGGGGAAUUUUGGACAAUGGGCGCAAGCCUGAUCCAGCAAUGCCGCGUGUGUGAAGAAGGCCUUCGGGUUGUAAAGCACUUUUGUCCGGAAAGAAAACUUCGGGGCUAAUACCCCUGGAGGAUGACGGUACCGGAAGAAUAAGCACCGGCUAACUACGUGCCAGCAGCCGCGGUAAUACGUAGGGUGCGAGCGUUAAUCGGAAUUACUGGGCGUAAAGCGUGCGCAGGCGGU
rnacentral:rRNA from 1 species